ACCAUUCAUGAAAAGAUUCUGCGAAUAAUCUAUUAAUCUCGCGAUGUUGUAAUCUUCGUGAGCGUGAACGAGAUCUUAAGACUUGUUUGUACUCACUAUGUUAAAAACAUGUUUAAUUCGUUAAAAAAUAAACAAAUCAGAAAAAGAUGAAUAUUUAUCAUAUUCUAGAACUUACUUGCGUAAUUGUUCAAGUGCAUUGUGGUGGAAAAGAACAUAUCUAUGUGCUUGUAUCCAAGAUCGGUCAUCUAAUUCUGCAAUUUCAACUUUCCCGAUUGGUUCUCCAUAACUUUGAAAUAAAUAAGUUUCGGCCAAGCUAGGAUCAUUGAGUCCGGCAUUUCUACUUGGUCUAUUCAAUCUUGUUUCAACAUCUUCUAAAU
rnacentral:lncRNA from 1 species